rnacentral:lncRNA from 1 species
GUGUAUUAAAUUCUGCAUUAGCUUAAAAACUGAAGGUUUCUCAUAGUUGUGAUACCCUUCAAUGUUCCUUUUUAUUACAUUUCUCCUUCUAUCUCCAUUCUCUAUUCUAUUCUCUUCUAUUUUUACCAAGCUUAGGGUACGAUUCCUUAAAAUAGCCGCACAAUAUUCAAAUUUUCAGUAAUAUUUUAUAAACCAUAAAUCCCAAGAACCAACAGCUAUAAACGUACAACAAAACUAUACCAUUUUCUUUGAUGGUGCUUGUACGGGUUCUUUAUGAUAUUUUUGUAGCGAAAAGCCAGCCAUCGAAUCCGUGCAGUUGUUGCUCUUGCCAUCGUACUUGAGCAGUUCUUGGCCCAGACCUAGGCUUCCAAAACCGAAACGAACAUAGACUUGCGUUACUACCAAUACCUUGACUUUGGCUCUGCCUUUUUUGCGGUUGGGUGGGGCUGUCAAGGGAGUGGUGUGGGGUGGUUGUGUCUCUGUGUCUGUGUGUGUGUCUCAAAGAAGAGAACUUUUUCUCGUUUUUACUGUCUGGAUCGUCUGCGCUUGCUCCUCCUGCUUGGUGUUGGGUAAUUGCUGUGUUUAAGAAUGUGUUCCUUUGGGCCGGGUUAUGUUGGGCCUCAAUGCGCAUGCAUUCAACUCUGUCUCUCUCUCUCUCUCUCUCUCUUUCUUUUCUCUUUCUCUCUCUCUGUGGUAUAACUCUCUAUUUCUCUCUUUUCCGGGCUGUGUUCUUUCAGUUGUUG